rnacentral:rRNA from 1 species
GAUGAACGCUGGCGGCGUGCCUAAUACAUGCAAGUCGAGCGAACCGACGAGGAGCUUGCUCCUCUGACGUUAGCGGCGGACGGGUGAGUAACACGUGGAUAACCUACCUAUAAGACUGGGAUAACUUCGGGAAACCGGAGCUAAUACCGGAUAAUAUAUUGAACCGCAUGGUUCAAUAGUGAAAGACGGUUUUGCUGUCACUUAUAGAUGGAUCCGCGCCGCAUUAGCUAGUUGGUAAGGUAACGGCUUACCAAGGCAACGAUGCGUAGCCGACCUGAGAGGGUGAUCGGCCACACGGGAACUGAGACACGGUCCAGACUCCUACGGGAGGCAGCAGUAGGGAAUCUUCCGCAAUGGGCGAAAGCCUGACGGAGCAACGCCGCGUGAGUGAUGAAGGUCUUCGGAUCGUAAAACUCUGUUAUUAGGGAAGAACAAAUGUGUAAGUAACUAUGCACGUCUUGACGGUACCUAAUCAGAAAGCCACGGCUAACUACGUG